UUCGAAUCCGGAAUCUCUGAUACGAAGAA
rnacentral:sRNA from 1 species